AGAGGAAGUAAAAGUCGUAACAAGGUUUCCGUAGGUGAACCUGCGGAAGGAUCAUUAAAGAUUGCGAAUGGUUGCCUUCGGUGCUGGCUUUUGCAAGUGCACGUUGGUGGCUUUCAUCCAAUACCCUGUGAACCUUUGGCCUCUUGCUAGCUUCGGCUGGCAGAGGAUUUUUACACACACUCAAAUGUAAUGAAAACUAUUGUCGUGCGCAAGCACUAAUGUACAACUUUCAACAACGGAUCUCUUGGCUCUCGCAUCGAUGAAGAACGCAGCGAAAUGCGAUAAGUAAUGUGAAUUGCAGAAUUCAGUGAAUCAUCGAAUCUUUGAACGCACCUUGCACCCUUUGGUAUUCCGAAGGGUAUGCUCGUUUGAGUGUCAUUGUACUCUCACUCUCUCUGAUCCUUUGGAUUCAGGGAGUGGUGGACUUGGGUGUUUGCUGCUUCCUUGUGGCUCACCUCAAAUGCGUCAGUGCACCUCUUGAUUGGACAUAGUACGGCGUGAUAAGUAUCUUCGCCGGCACCUCGCAAGAGGGUGGCCGAUUGGGAGCUCUGUGCUUUCAAACCGUCUUCGGACAAUUUCUGACAACUUGACCUCAAAUCGAGUAGGACUACCCGCUGAACUUAAGCAUAUCAA
rnacentral:rRNA from 1 species